rnacentral:rRNA from 1 species
AUUGAACGCUGGCGGCAUGCUUUACACAUGCAAGUCGAACGGUAACAGGCCGCAAGGUGCUGACGAGUGGCGAACGGGUGAGUAAUGCAUCGGAACGUGCCCAGUCGUGGGGGAUAACUACUCGAAAGAGUAGCUAAUACCGCAUACGAUCUAUGGAUGAAAGCGGGGGAACGUAAGGCCUCGCGCGAUUGGAGCGGCCGAUGUCAGAUUAGGUAGUUGGUGGGGUAAAGGCUCACCAAGCCAACGAUCUGUAGCUGGUCUGAGAGGACGACCAGCCACACUGGGACUGAGACACGGCCCAGACUCCUACGGGAGGCAGCAGUGGGGAAUUUUGGACAAUGGGCGCAAGCCUGAUCCAGCAAUGCCGCGUGCAGGAAGAAGGCCUUCGGGUUGUAAACUGCUUUUGUACGGAACGAAACGGCUCUGGUUAAUACCCGGGGGUAAUGACGGUACCGUAAGAAUAAGCACCGGCUAACUACGUG